rnacentral:rRNA from 1 species
AAUCAACGCUGGCGGCGUGCCUCAGACAUGCAAGUCGAACGAUUAAACUUUCCUUCGGGAAAGAUAUAAAGUGGCGCACGGGUGAGUAACACGUAAGUAAUCUACCCUCGAGUGGGGAAUAACGUCCGGAACGGACGCUAAUACCGCAUAAUGCAGCGGCACCGCAAGGUGACAGUUGUUAAAGAUUUAUCGCUUGAGGAGGAGCUUGCGGCAGAUUAGCUAGUUGGUAAGGAAUGGCUUACCAAGGCUACGAUCUGUAACCGGUCUAAGAGGACGGUCGGUCACACUGACACUGAAUAACGGGUCAGACUCCUACGGGAGGCAGCAGUCGGGAAUUUUGGGCAAUGGGCGAAAGCCUGACCCAGCAACGCCGCGUGAAGGAUGAAGUAUUUCGGUAUGUAAACUUCGAAAGAAUGGGAAGAAUAAAUGACGGUACC